UAGGACGGUCGGAUGGCUACCUUUGUAAGAUGUAAGUCUUACGAGGAGGAAAGUCCGAACACCUGUUGAAUUGCAAAAUUCAACACAAAAGAGAGUCGCUAACGGCGACCAGGGAUACGUCUGAGGGAAUCCGCGGAAUUGGAUUUAUUUGAUUCCAUGGCUUCUCAAAACAAACCCUAGGGAAAGUGCCACAGAGACAAUACUAAUCUGGAUGCAAAUCCAGACAAAAGGUGAAAAGUGAUGUCGAGGUAUGCGAUCAGUUGGUCGUCUGCCACACAUCUCGCCUCAUGGUGACAUGAGUGCGUGGUAAACCCUCAUCUGGUGAAAGAGCAAAUUUGGUAGCUCGCUUGAGCCCUUCAGCAAUGAAGGGACUAGAUAGAUUGCCAUCUCCUUUGGGUAGUGACCCGAAGUAGACAAAAUUCGGCUUACAGACUGCUCCUAAGAU
rnacentral:RNase_P_RNA from 2 species